CGGCGGGAGAGCCCGCCCACGGCGGCGCCGAAGGAGCAACCCUCCCCGGGAAUCUCUCAGGCCCCUGUACCGCCG
rnacentral:ncRNA from 1 species